rnacentral:rRNA from 1 species
AACGAACGCUGGCGGCAUGCCUAACACAUGCAAGUCGAACGAGACCUUCGGGUCUAGUGGCGCACGGGUGCGUAACGCGUGGGAACCUGCCCUUAGGUUCGGAAUAACUCCCCGAAAGGGGUGCUAAUACCGGAUAAUGUCUUCGGACCAAAGAUUUAUCGCCUUUGGAUGGGCCCGCGUUGGAUUAGCUAGUUGGUAGGGUAAAAGCCUACCAAGGCGACGAUCCAUAGCUGGUCUGAGAGGAUGAUCAGCCACACUGGGACUGAGACACGGCCCAGACUCCUACGGGAGGCAGCAGUGGGGAAUAGUGGACCAUGGGCGAAAGCCUGAGCCAGCAACGCCGCGUGAGUGAUGAAGGCCUUAGGGUUGUAAAGCUCUUUUACCCGGGAUGAUAAUGACAGUACCGGGAGAAUAAGCUCCGGCUAACUCCGUG